AAGUUGUGGACGAAAUUAGAAUAAGAAUUGCUGGUAAUACGGCUGCGCCUUGUUUCCAUGUGCUAAAAAAUAAGGGAUAUAAAGUAACAAUGGAAACUCAUGCAUUAUCUGACGAUUGUUUAGAUUGUGUAUAUGAUUGGUAUGCGGAAAAAAAUGGACAAUUUUUUAGUGCAACGAGUCCAGAAGAGUUACUUGGAUUAGUUGCAAUGUGGGAAGUUCGUGGUAAUGACUGGAGAGCUAAUUUGAAUGAGAUAAAUACUUAUCAAAAAGCCAUAGAAGAAUCCCCGUUUUUUGAUAAAAACGGCAAUGAAAUAGAGUCUGACUAAAUUUUAUUGAUAUAGCAACGAUAAUAACCGGAAAUUUCUUCCAGAUCUUUCCGGCUUUUUAUUAUUUAACUUUCGUUCAGCACACUAAACAUCCCGUCUCGCAUCCCCUUAACUGGCUGUUUAACCUGAUAAAGUUCCCUGCGCAGUUCCUGUACUUCGUUGUUAUCCCAAGCAGGAUCAAACAUCCCUCCGAGAUCUUCACGGUAACGCCCGUGCCGAUCUCAAAUCCCGCUUUUCUCAGCCAUUUGGCGCUGAUUUUGAUCACCGGCGUGUCGCUGCGGUUGGGCAGAUAACCCACGGUACAGCGACGCUGUGUUUUGGAAAUGGU
rnacentral:ncRNA from 1 species